ensembl:lncRNA PPIEL peptidylprolyl isomerase E like (pseudogene)
GGAAGCAAGAUGGCGGCCGCCGAGAGGGUUCACAAAGGGUAGGGUGGUGUGGAGCAAGGCAGGGUCCUCGCAGGCAGUGCCAAGAUUGAGCUGGGGGUGGGCAGAGUGGGCGGGGUGCGGACCCAUGGCCCUACGCAUCCUGGGCCAGGUCUCUUGUGGUGCUUCACGCUCUCGACCUGUGAGUGGUGCCUGCUAGAGCUGCCCAGAUCCCUUUUCCCUACCCCUUCUGACCCUGGACCCAGAGUGGUGGUUGCGAUCUGCUACCGUGACGUCAGCCCUCAUUCGUUCGUUCCACAAACUCCACAGCUCUGGUCCAUUAGAGGAAGGAGGUCCCAGAAUAGCUGGGAAAUUACGAGAACAGCCUCACUGCACGAGUUGGUGAAUGCUGUGAUGGCGAUUGUAUGAUGGACGGUGAUGUUGAAACCAGACUGGGGAAUGACCGCCCCAUCCGGAGAGAAAAGCACCAAGGAUUCUCUUUUGUUGAAUUUGAGUUGGCAGAGUUUGGUCAGAUGAAGACUGGGUGGAGAAGUUUGCUGGGAAGAGGAUAAAGAGGAAGGUGGUUGAGACUUCCCAAAGCAGAAAGCCAGGAGCGCAGCCCAUUUACUGCCUUCUCCAGGAAGCUUUUCUGAAUCCUCCAGUGAGUAAGGGAGAGCCCACUGCUAAAAAAGGCCUAGUCAAAUCCUCAGGUGUACAUGGACAUCAAGAUUGGGAACAAGCCGGCUGGCUGCAUCCAAACCCUCCUGCGUUCCGACGUCGUGCCCAUGACCACAGAGAAUUUUCUCUACAUGUGCACCCAUUUAAAGGACUCGGCUUCAAGGGAAGCAGCUUCCACCGCAUUAUCCCCCAGUUCAUUUGCCAGGGCAGUGAUUUCACAAACCACGGUGGCACCAGGGGUCUGCGCAGGCAUGGCACUAAGUGUCCCAUGGCACAUUUGGCCCUCAUGGAGGCCUCAAAAGGGCAGGACCAGCACCCUCUUCUACGGAGGAAGGAACGGGCACAGCAGGUACAUGAUGUGGUCAAAUUAACAAGAGGCAGAGGCCGGAAACAAGGAGAGUCAGCAAUUACCAGCCAGCCAAGGUCCUGGAAGCUGACGUAGAGCUCGUGCCGACGGCAGACCUGCCGGCCGUGGGAGCCGCGGACGUCAUCUGCAGGGACAGAAGGGGCAAGGUCUUUUCUGGGGUUCCUGCUGUGUGCAGCUACUAUGGGGUACCAGGGUGGGGGAUGCCCUGAUGAGCACAUUUGUCAAAUAAAUGAAUGACAGGAAACCA